CCUACGGGAGGCAGCAGUCGGGAAUUUUGCUCAAUGGGGGAAACCCUGAAGCAGCAACGCCGCGUGAGGGGUGACGGCCUUCGGGUUGUAAACCUCUUUUGCCGGGGACGAUAAUGACGGUACCCGGAGAAUAAGCCACGGCUAACUACGUGCCAGCAGCCGCGGUAAUACGUAGGUGGCAAGCGUUGUCCGGAUUUACUGGGCGUAAAGAGCGCGCAGGCGGCCAAGUCAGUCGAAUGUGAAAGCCCCCGGCUCAACUGGGGAAGGUCGUUCGAUACUGCUUGGCUCGAAGAUAGGAGAGGGAAGUGGAAUUUCAGGUGUAGUGGUGAAAUGCGUAGAUAUCUGAAGGAACACCAGUGGCGAAGGCGACUUUCUGGCCUAUUCUUGACGCUGAGGCGCGAAAGCUAGGGGAGCGAACGGGAUUAGAUACCCCGGUAGUCCUAGCCGUAAACGAUGAACACUAGAUGUUGGUGGUAUCAACCCCGCCAGUGUCGCAGCUAACGCAUUAAGUGUUCCGCCUGGGGAGUACGGCCGCAAGGCUAAAACUCAAAGGAAUUGACGGGG
rnacentral:rRNA from 1 species